GCGCCCAACGUUCUUGUCCGCCGUUCUGCGCCGCCGCCAUGGAGGACGGCGAGGAACCCUGCGUCCUUUCUUCGCACUCCGGGAGCGCAGGCUCCAAGUCGGGAGGCGACAAGAUGUUCUCCCUCAAGAAGUGGAACGCGGUAGCCAUGUGGAGCUGGGACGUUGAAUCCGAUACCUGUGUCAUCUGCAGGGUCCAGGUGAUGGAUGCCUGUCUUAGAUGUCAAGCUGAAAACAAGCAAGAGGACUGUGUCGUGGUCUGGGGAGAGUGCAACCAUUCCUUCCACAACUGCUGCAUGUCCCUGUGGGUGAAACAGAACAAUCGCUGCCCUCUGUGCCAGCAGGACUGGGUGGUCCAAAGAAUCGGCAAAUGAGAGGUGGCCCAGGCGCCCCUGGUGUGGUUGGUGAUCCUGGACAACCUUGCCAUCAAGUUACUGGACAAAGACUAGACACUGCAGGGGUUUCAUCCUUGAGAGAGAGAGAGGAUGGUGUACGCCUUUGAGACUCACCAAAGGCACGCUUUAUUGUUUUGUCUGUUUAGUUUUGGGAAAUUAAGAUAAUUUAUUAAAAAUGGCCU